rnacentral:rRNA from 1 species
UACGUAGGGGGCAAGCGUUGUCCGGAAUCAUUGGGCGUAAAGCGCGUGUAGGCGGCCCGAUAAGUCCGCUGUGAAAGUCCAGGGCUCAACCCUGGAAUGCCGGUGGAUACUGUCGGGCUAGAGUCCGGAAGAGGCGAGUGGAAUUCCUGGUGUAGCGGUGAAAUGCGCAGAUAUCAGGAGGAACACCAAUUGCGAAGGCAGCUCGCUGGGACGGCACUGACGCUGAGACGCGAAAGCGUGGGGAGCAAACGGG